ACAUCCAGAGAACUUAGCAGAGAUGCUUUGGUGCCUUCGGGAACUCUGAGACAGGUGCUGCAUGGCUGUCGUCAGCUCGUGUUGUGAAAUGUUGGGUAAGUCCCGNAACGAGCGCAACCCUUAUCCUUUGUUGCCAGCGGUUCGGCCGGGAACUCAAAGGAGACUGCCGGUGAUAAACCGGAGGAAGGUGGGGAUGACGUCAAGUCAUCAUGGCCCUUACGGCCAGGGCUACACACGUGCUACAAUGGCGCAUACAAAGAGAAGCGACCUCGCGAGAGCAAGCGGACCUCAUAAAGUGCGUCGUAGUCCGGAUUGGAGUCUGCAACUCGACUCCAUGAAGUCGGAAUCGCUAGUAAUCGUAGAUCAGAAUGCUACGGUGAAUACGUUCCCGGGCCUUGUACACACCGCCCGUCACACCAUGGGAGUGGGUUGCAAAAGAAGUAGGUAGCUUAACCUUCGGGAGGGCGCUUACCACUUUGUGAUUCAUGACUGGGGUGAAGUCGUAACAAGGUAGGCGUAGCGAG
rnacentral:rRNA from 1 species